GACGAACGCUGGCGGCGUGCUUAACACAUGCAAGUCGAACGGAAAGGCCCUGCUUUUGUGGGUUGCUCGAGUGGCGAACGGGUGAGUAACACGUGAGUAACCUGCCCUUGACUUUGGGAUAACUUCAGGAAACUGGGGCUCAUACCGGAUAUGAGCUCCUGCUGCAUGGUGGGGGUUGGAAAGUUUCGGCGGUUGGGGAUGGACUCGCGGCUUAUCCGCUUGUUGGUGUGGUAGUGGCUUACCAAGGCUUUGACGGGUAGCCGGCCUGGGAGGGUGACCGGGCACAAGGGGACUGAGAGACGGAGCAGACGCGUAAGGGAGGCAGCAGGGGGGAAUAUGGCAGAAUGGGCGGAAGCCAGAUGCAGAAACGCCGCGUGCGGGAUGACGGCCUUCGGGGUGUAAACCGCUGUCGCCUGUGACGAAGAGGGAGUGACGGUAAUGGGUAAAGAAGCACCGGCUAACUACGUG
rnacentral:rRNA from 1 species